rnacentral:tRNA from 1 species
CGGGACGUGGCGCAGCCUGGUAGCGAACUUGACUGGGGUUCAAGGGGACGCAGGUCACAACCUGUCGUCCCGA